UCUCAUGUCUUUCUUUUUUUCUUUCCCUUUUUUUCUAAUAAUAUUUUCAUGUUUCCAGUCCUUACGCGAUUUCGGUUUUCGUUUCUCUCCAAAACUCUGAUCAUAUUUUUUUUUUAAACGUGUCAAUCUUCCCUGCUCUCUUCACCACCCAGCACCUCCGUCCCCGCCUCAUCUCGUUCUCCAUCACUAUGUCCCCCCUUUUGUUCUCCUUCCUCUCACUCACGCUCCCAUUGAUGUGGUGAGUGAAGCACUAAAAUCGGCUAAGAUGAGUUCGCUUAUUGUACCACCUUGAGCCAAAACCCUUUUCAAGACACUUUUCGGGUUACGAUCCUUCUUCUUGCACUUUAGAAAAUCCAAGUUCUCAGAGUGGCACCGGAUCCCAAUGUGCUUCCAUGAUGCCAUCAACACCGACGACGAUGGGAUUGGAUUUCCCGAGGCAUCUACCGCGCUCGCCAUGUGCUGUUCGAUACUUGAUAGCCACAACAAAAAAGAGAAAACGCAAUUCGAUCAGUGUCGUUAAGUUCCUGAAAAAACGAAAGUAAAUUACUGAGAAAAUGGGGGAAAAGAGAAAAUGGAGAACGGAAAGAUAUUUACGACAUUGCCCUUACCCGUGGUUGUUGGAAAGCGGUGGUUCUGGCUUCUUCAAGAAUCUGAAUUCGAAGGGAGAAACCCAGGCAGUAUAAACUACCCAGAAUAAUAAGGAAAGUUUCCCAUAUCCUGCAAAAUCCACAAAUUUUAUUUACCUAAUACUAGUGUUACUCAUCUGCGUUGGAAAACACAGAAAAGAAAAAUAUUUUUAUACACGAAAUUUCAGUUUUAGUUACAGAGUCAACAACAAAACAUAUUUAUAAGAAAUUUUGAAUUAUCUCUUGACACUUAUUUUCAGUGGAACAUUGCAUGCACAACAAUCACCAUAUUCUAGUUGUUUCAAAUUCAGAGAAACAAAGUGAAACUUUUCAGUUUGACUACUGCCAGAAGCUCGUGCCUCUGCCUUUGAAAACUCAAGUUCAACAAAGUAAACCAAAAUCGAAAACAUGGUUUUUUUUAUCAAUGCUGUUUUGAUUACUUUCCUUUGUUUUAUACAUUAAAUUGAAAAUGAAGCUUAAGAGUUGCUGCAUUGUGACCUAAAUAAAGGUCACAGUUCAAAUCUUUGAAAAAGGUUCUAUGUUUGUGUGGGGUAAGGAUGUGUAUAUGUACUUUAUUCAAACCAUAGUUAGUGGUAGCAUCAUAAAAAUUACUCAGUUGAUGUCUAAGCUAUUUAUGAAUUUUGAAAGUAGGUUCUUACAGUAAAAAAAGACUCAAUAAUUUGUCACUUUAAAGUUGGUGUCCCAAUAAUAACUUAUUUUACUCUCAUGAACGUUGGAAAUAAAACCAUCCACCAAGCAAAUCCAUCAUCAUCCAUUAAACUCAAAACCCAACCCAAAUUCAACAACAGAAAAAAAAAAAGCUUUUUUCCCUAAACCAGACAGUAAAACCAAAAGGGAAAGAACCUUGAUUCUGAAAUACUGCUUCCAUAGUGCUAGUUGCGCUUAAUAAGGAUGAGGUGGCGAUACAAAGAAGAGAGAAAGAAGGCGGAAAGGAAAUUAAAACUGGAAAAAGCGGAUGAACAGGUCUGAGUUGGAGGCUUCUUCAUUCUUUCAAGAGGAACCAAACAAAAAGAAAAACACAGUUUAAUUUGAGCCCAUUGAUUUUUGAUGGGCUGUGCGGGAAUGAAAACCCAUGGGAAAGUCGUACACAAACCAGAAAAGAAAAAACACACACGAAAGGAUGGCAUCAAGCAGCAGUUCUUUACCUCCACGUCCUAUUUUUGUAGGAGAAAAUUAUGAUUUGUGGGAUGCAAAAAUGAGAACUUUUUUGAGAGCUCAAACUCACUGGGAAGUGGUGGAAAAUGGAACUAAUCCAGCUCCUUUACCAGACAACCCAACAGUGGCUCAAAUAAGAUUCCAUGGUGAAGUUGCAAAGGAAGGCAGAGCAUUUGCCAUUAUGCAUCCAGCAGUAAACCAUGAUGUUUUUAUCAAGAUAUUGAAGCUCGAGAUAGCAAAAGAGGUUUGGGACAAGCUCAAGGAGGAGUUGCAAGGUAGUGAAAGAACUAGGAGGAUGAAGGUGCUGAACCUGAGAAGAGAAUUUGAAGCAAUCAAAAUGAAGGAGACUAGGAAAUGUACCACCAAGCCGCUAUAUCCUCUAGCCAAUUACCUAUCCUUUAAAAACUUCUCACCUACCCAUAAAGCCUUCCUUACAAGCCUAAACAUCACAACCACACCUACCUCUUUAUCAGAGGCAUUGAGUGAUAAAAACUGGAAACAAGCCAUAGAAGUGGAAAUGCCGAACUGUAUCAAGACAGAACUGAAAUGACCAAACCAAACCCGAGGAGAUUGCUUCAAACUAUAGAGACCGUUGAAGCUUACAAACAAGAUGAGAAUCGUUGAGAGCAAGAAAAUCAAUGGGUUCAUCAAUAUAAACUUCUUCUUGCAAUUCACCAUCAACACAUGAAUUCAAGGAGUUAAAUUUUCAUUUUGAUGAAAAGAAGAAGAUUUGCAUUCAUUUUGGAAGAAUCUAACUUGCCCCGGCUAGAGUGCCACCUGAGAGCUUAAGCCACAGAAGAAAACCCACCAAGGAAGGUUUCCUUAAGCUACAAAUGAUGAUUAUUGAGUUUAGGAAUUUGAGCUAAAAAGAACCAAGCUACAAAUGAUAACUACUGAGUUUAGGGACUUGAGAUAAAACAAUACAUUGUUUAUAGAUGCAACUCUACAAUUUAUAAAGUAUGUUUAAUUGUGAUCCAACUGUGCCUAAGUGACUAUAGCUUGUUAAGUUACAUGUACUGAAAAGAAAAAGGA